rnacentral:rRNA from 1 species
CGCAUAGGCGGGCGGGCAAGUCGGAGGUGAAAGCCCCCAGCUCAACUGGGGAAGUGCCCUCGAUACUGCCGGCCUGGAGGGAGGUAGGGGCGUGCGGAACUUCCGGUGGAGCGGUGAAAUGCGUAGAUAUCGGAAGGAACACCGGUGGCGAAGGCGGCACGCUGGGCCUUUCCUGACGCUGAGGCGCGAAAGCCAGGGGAGCGAACG